ACUCCUGCGGGAGGCAGCAGUGGGGAAUAUUGGACAAUGGGCGCAAGCCUGAUCCAGCCAUGCCGCGUGAGUGAUGAAGGCCCUAGGGUUGUAAAGCUCUUUCACCGGUGAAGAUAAUGACGGUAACCGGAGAAGAAGCCCCGGCUAACUUCGUGCCAGCAGCCGCGGUAAUACGACGGGGGCUAGCGUUGUUCGGAUUUACUGGGCGUAAAGCGCACGUAGGCGGACUAUUAAGUCAGGGGUGAAAUCCCGGGGCUCAACCCCGGAACUGCCUUUGAUACUGGUAGUCUUGAGUUCGAGAGAUGUGAGUGGAAUUCCGAGUGUAGAGGUGAAAUUCGUAGAUAUUCGGAGGAACACCAGUGGCGAAGGCGGCUCACUGGCUCGAUACUGACGCUGAGGUGCGAAAGCGUGGGGAGCAAACAGGAUUAGAAACCCCGGUAGUCCCAUG
rnacentral:rRNA from 1 species